rnacentral:lncRNA from 1 species
CCUUUUGGAGAAAGCUUAAUCAUUUUCGUUUGGAUGAAUGUGACGAUUCUCGAAAUAGUUUAUAUUUAUCUCGACAUUUAAUGUUGGCACUUAGCAGUCUACAUCCUUGUAUUGCAUGGGCAAUUAGUUGCUUUCUUUCGAUUCUCUUGAGUGAUUUUGACUAUAUGCUAAUAAGAUCAUGAGUGGGCGGUAUAGCUAACAUUUCUCAUUUGGCAAGCAUAAAACAAGGCUACAUAUUGGGCAAUUAGUGAAGGAC